rnacentral:rRNA from 1 species
UACGCUGGCGGCACGCCUAACACAUGCAAGUCGAACGGAGUAGCAAUACUUAGUGGCAGACGGGUGAGUAACAUGUAGGUAUCUGCCCUUUGGCCUGGAAUAACACGAGGAAACUUGUGCUAAUACCGGAUAAGUCUUUACGGAGAAAGCUUUAUGCACCAUUGGAUGAGCCUGCACUUGAUUAGUUUGUUGGUGGGGUAAUGGCCUACCAAGACUGUGAUCAAUAGCUGAUUUGAGAGGAUGAUCAGCCACAUUGGGACUGAGACACGGCCCAAACUCCUACGGGAGGCAGCAGUGGGGAAUCUUGCACAAUGGAGGAAACUCUGAUGCAGCGAUGCCGCGUGAGUGAAGAAGGCCCUUGGGUUGUAAAGCUCUUUCGUCGGGGAAGAAAAUGACUGUACCCGAAUAAGA